UACAGAGGGGGCAAGCGUUAUUCGGAAUUAUUGGGCGUAAAGGGCGCGUAGGCGGCUUGGCAAGUGGAAGGUGAAAUCCCUCGGCUCAACUGAGGAACUGCCUUCCAGACUGCUUUGCUUGAGUCCGGGAGAGGUGAGUGGAAUUCCCAGUGUAGCGGUGAAAUGCGUAGAUAUUGGGAGGAACACCAGUGGCGAAGGCGGCUCACUGGACCGGAACUGACGCUGAGGCGCGAAAGCGUGGGGAGCAAACAGG
rnacentral:rRNA from 1 species